AUGAUUUGUGAGGCAGCAUAUGUUUUUGUCUGUUUAUUGGCCAUUUGUUUUUCUUCUAGGAAUUAUCAGGUCAUUGUCCAUUCGUCCAUUUUUUAACCAGAGCAUUUUAUCUUUUUCUGACUGAUGUUUAAGAGCUCUUCAGAUUAUUAAGGUUAGUGAGCCUCUGCAUAUGACACAUGUAUCUUUCUACAUUUUUUAAAUUGUUCUUUUAAUUAUUCUUAUGGCUUGAGGCGAACUCUGAGGUUAUCUACCGCCCCCAGUGUUGCCAGGUGGACCCUGUGUACCACAUGCAUUGCUGUAGAUGCUUGCUCACCGAAGAGGAAUUCCUGUUCAUUGGUGUUUUAGGAACCUGUUACAUUCAAGGAUGUGGCCAUGGACUUCACCAAAGAGGAAUGGGGGCAACUAGACUAUGCACAAAGGGCCUUUACAGAGAAGUGAUGCUGGAGAUCUAUGGCAACCUGGUCAUAGUGGGAUUUUGCAAGCCAUCUUGAAUGUUUCCCAAUACUAUUGCUUGGCAAAUAGCAAAAGUAAGCAAAAACAAAGGGAUCCAUUGCCUUAUUUAUCAAGAGCUCUUAGAAAUCAAGAAGAAAAAGCAUGGAAAAUAUGAAGAGACUUGUCAGAGAGAGAUACAAAUGAUCCUUAAAUUUUUGGAAAGGUGUUCUACCUUUCUCAUUAUAUGAGAAAUGAAAAUCAAAACCAUACUGAGACACCAUUUCCUACCUAUCAGGUUAGCAAAAAAUUGAAAAGGUUUUUUUUUGUCUGUUUGUUUUGUUUGUUUGUUUGUUUGU